CAAACUCUCUUCGGUUCCUUCAUUAUCUCCCUAGACAGAUUUUUAUUGUUUUAUUUCUUCUACAUGAUUUUCUUUUUACUGUUUUUACCUUUUAUCAUGAUGUUUGCUGAACUCACCAUAAGUGAGUAGUUUUCUUAUUCUGGAAAUGGGAGAGUAAUGCUUGUAAUCAUUGUUAUGGAUAAACAUUAAGUUUUAUUUAUUGGAUUUGAGUUUUGCCAUUUGAUUCAAUUUCUUGUGAUCUUAAUGCAUGUUAUGU
rnacentral:misc_RNA from 1 species